rnacentral:lncRNA from 1 species
CACUGAAGGAGUCAGAGUUGGAGGCAUCAUUUAUGUCAUCAAGCCAAGACUCUUUAACAUAUCUCUCAUUAAAUAUGUUGCUAAAGUUUUAUAAGUCUGUUCAUUGGUUUGGGAAAUGAUGUCCGGAUUCUGGAGGCAGGGAUGGUGUGGCAGAAAUGACAGCCCUCUGGUCUCAACUCUGCCAUCAUCUACAAGUGUGGUAAGUCACCUCCAUAUAAGGGGUUCUGCUCCAAG